rnacentral:rRNA from 1 species
UACAGAGGGGGCAAGCGUUGUUCGGAAUUACUGGGCGUAAAGGGCGCGUAGGCGGCCGCCUAAGUCAGACGUGAAAUCCCUCGGCUCAGCCGGGGAACUGCGUCUGAGACUGGCGAGCUUGAGGGCAGGAGAGGAACGCGGAAUUCCAGGUGUAGCGGUGAAAUGCGUAGAUAUCUGGAGGAACACCGGUGGCGAAGGCGGCGUUCUGGACUGCAUCUGACACUGAAAGACGAAAGCCAGGGGAGCAAACGGG